rnacentral:rRNA from 1 species
GAGUUUGAUCCUGGCUCAGAUUGAACGCUGGCGGCAUGCCUUACACAUGCAAGUCGAACGGCAGCAUGAUCUAGCUUGCUAGAUUGAUGGCGAGUGGCGAACGGGUGAGUAAUACAUCGGAACGUGCCCUGUAGUGGGGAGUAACUAGUCGAAGAUUAGCUAAUACCGCAUACGACCUGAGGGUGAAAGUAGGGGGACCGGCAAGGCCUCAUGCUAUAGGAGCGGCCGAUGUCUGAUUAGCUAGUUGGUGGGGUAAAGGGCCCACCAAGGCGACGAUCAGUAGCUGGUCUGAGAGGACGAUCAGCCACACUGGGACUGAGACACGGCCCAGACUCCUACGGGAGGCAGCAGUGGGGAAUUUUGGACAAUGGGCGAAAGCCUGAUCCAGCAAUGCCGCGUGUGUGAAGAAGG